UACAGAGGGUGCGAGCGUUAAUCGGAAUUACUGGGCGUAAAGCGCACGUAGUCGGCUUUGCAAGUCGGUUGUGAAAUCCCCCGGGCUCAACCUGGGAACUACAUCCGAGACUGCAUUGCUAGAGUAUGGGAGAGGAAAGCGGAAUUUCUGGUGUAGCAGUGAAAUGCGUAGAUAUCAGAAGGAACAUCAGUGGCGAAGGCGGCUUUCUGGACCAAUACUGACGAUCAGGUGCGAAAGCGUGGGGAGCAAACAGG
rnacentral:rRNA from 1 species